rnacentral:rRNA from 1 species
GUGACCUGCAGAUGGAUCAUUUCGAUGAAAACCUUUUUUCUGAGGUGUGGCUCGCACCUGUCUAACUAAACUUGAGCUACCCAAUUUUCAACACGGUUGCAUCGGUUAGCUGUCAAACAGUGCGGAAACGCGUUGUGCGACGGUUGACACAAACACAAACACUUUUGAUGAUCUAGGAUUUGAAUGAAAGUUCAUUUUUAUGAUGGAACCGACUGGUAAUGCGGUCGUCUAAAUCUAAAAAACAACUUUUGGCAACGGAUCUCUUGGUUCUCCCAUCGAUGAAGAACGCAGCGAAUUGCGAUAAGUAAUGUGAAUUGCAGAAGUGAAUCAUCGAAUCUUUGAACGCACCUUGCGCUCCCGGCAGAUCUAAUCUGGGGAGCAUGCCUGUUUGAGGGCCGCGAAUUGUUUCGAACGACAGCUUUUUUCUUGUAGAAGAGUUGGCGGAUCGGUAGUGAGGGUCUUUGCCAUUUACCGUGGCUCCCUCGAAAUACAUUAGCGCAUCCAUUUAUUAGGCAAGACGGACGAAAGCUCGAUUUUCGCCCCCUCUUCCCUGCCGGGUUUUGAUAAUAUCAGGACUUCGGAGAGCGGAGAGAAGGGUGAGAGCUGGACGCGACGUUUUGCUGGUUGGAGUGCUUCUGAACCCCGCCCAUGCCUUUCGCAAGAAAGGAAGGGAUUUUUCAAUUCAUCGGCCUCAGAUUGGUAGGACUACCCGCUGAACUUAAGCAUAUCAAUAAGCGGAGGAAAAGAAACUAACAAGGAUUCCCCUAGUAACGGCGAGUGAAGAGGGAAGAGCCCAAGAUUGAAAGCUGGCGUCUUCGGCGUCCGCAUUGUAAUCUCAAGAAGUGUUUUCCGCUUCGGACCAUGCCUAAGUCCCUUGGAAAAGGGCAUCAUAGAGGGUGAUAAUYCCGUACAUGGCAUGGAGCGCCCGAAGCUUUGUGAUACGCUUUCUAAGAGUCGAGUUGUUUGGGAAUGCAGCUCAAAAUGGGUGGUAAAUGCCAUCUAAGGCUAAAUAUUGGGGAGAGACCGAUAGCGAACAAGUACAGUGAUGGAAAGAUGAAAAGAACUUUGAAAAGAGAGUUAAACAGUACGUGAAAUUGCCAAAAGGGAAGGGUAGGAGGUCAGAGAUGCGGCCUGGGAUUCAGCCUUGCUUUUGCUUGGUGUUUUUCCUAGAUUGCAGGCCAACGUCGGUUUUGGGCACUGGAGAAGGGUAGGAGGAACGUGGCACCUCUCGGGGUGUGUUAUAGCCUCCUACUGGAUACAGCGACCGAGACCGAGGACAGCAGCGUACUCGCAAGAGCGGGCCUUCGGGCACCUUACGCUAGGGCG